GUCAGGAUGGCCGAGCGGUUUCAGGCGCUGCUUUCAGGUCGCAGUCUUGUUCUCCAGGCGUGGGUGCGAAUCCCACUCCUGACA
rfam:Nematostella vectensis strain CH2 x CH6 NEMVEscaffold_236_Cont20159, whole genome shotgun sequence.